CAGCCGCCGCGGUAAUACCGGCGGCCCGAGUGGCGGUCACUUUUAUUGGGCUUAAAGCGUCCGUAGCCGGGUUGGGAAGUCCUCCGGGAAAUCUGGCCGCUUAACGGUCAGAAUGCCGGAGGAUACUCCCAGCCUCGGGAGCGGGGGAGGCCGAGGGGAUUCCCGGGGUAGGGGUGAAAUACUAUAAUCCCGGGGGGACCACCUGUGGGGAAGGCGCUCGGCUGGAACGCGUCCGACGGUGAGGGACGAAGGCCAGGGGAGCAAACCGGAUUAGAUACCCGGGUAGUCCUGGCGGUAAACGAUGCGGACGUUGUGUCGGACAAGCUAUGAGCUUGUCCGGUGCCGGAGGGAAACCGUUAAGUCCGCCGCCUGGGGAGUACGGCCGCAAGGCUGAAACUUAAAGGAAUUGGCGGG
rnacentral:rRNA from 1 species